rnacentral:misc_RNA from 1 species
GCAACCUCUUGAAGUUGAUAAGAUGCUCCAUGCUUGCUCUGGGCAAUCUUCAGUAAAACACCAGAGAAAAAGACUUCAAGUUGUAGCUUUAACUUAAAACGCAGAUGAUGAUACAAAUUUAAAACAAUGCUACAAACUGUCGAAAGAAUUAAAGGACUCAUGGACAACCCAAAACGCAUCAGAUUGUGGAACAAUUCCUCCUGUAUCAGAGCCAACAACUUGGGAUGAUUUGCAAAAGCAGCACCACCUAGUUCUAUGGCUGAAUUAAUUAAACCCAGCGCAAA